GAUGAAGAACGCAGCGAAAUGCGAUAAGUAGUGUGAAUUGCAGAAUUCAGUGAAUCAUCGAAUCUUUGAACGCACAUUGCGCCCUUUGGUAUUCCUUAGGGCAUGCCUGUUCGAGCGUCAUUUGAAACCUCAAGCUCAGCUUGGUGUUGGGUGUCUGUCCCCGCCUCACCGCGGGGACUCGCCUCAAAAUCAUUGGCGGCCGGUACGUUGGCUUCGAGCGCAGCAGAAACGCGAACUCGAGGCCCGGUGGAUCGGCGACCAGAAGUCACUUCUUCACAGUUUGACCUCGGAUCAGGUAGGGAUACCCGCUGAACUUAAGCAUAUCAAUAAGCGGAGGA
rnacentral:misc_RNA from 1 species